GCGGACGUAGCUCAACGGAUAGAGCAUCAGUCUUCGGAACUGAGGGUUGGGGGUUCGAAUCCCUUCGUCCGCGCCA
rnacentral:tRNA from 1 species